UCCGCGGCCACCUCUCCCGGCAGCAGAGGGGCCAGCUGGGCCAGCGGGAGAAAGGCUGAUUUUUACUCCUGAUUAGCAAUUGUGCGCGAGAGAUGUUUUCAGCUGAAAUAAUAUACAAGAGUUUCCCCAGAGAAAAUAUACACGCUCAGUUUUUUGGAACCACUUAACACAACCCGGUAGCAAGCAGACGUACAUUUGGAACCACAUAACACGUUUCUUGACUUGGAAGAACUGCCUGGUACAAAUUGAUGUCAUCACAAUAGAGAUUAAUGUGCCCGUUUUAUUAGCCUCACAGGCCGCAGGUGAAUGGUGAGCUAUUGUUAUUCAACUGGUUAAUAUUAUUUUUACAUAAAUCAAGGUAACGCCUAACAACGUCUUAAGUCUUUAAAUCAACCCGCCUUUUCCUAUUUGGAACAUGACGUUGGGCCCUUGCCAAGAGCGCCGGGAAACAGAGGGCCAAAAGUGGCAUUUCAAUAAGGAACGUACCCGUUCAACGACAGGAUGCCGGGCUCACGGCUCACAGCCCCUUGCCAACACACAAGCGAGUCUUGGGAGAAUUUCACAUUCGCGCUGACAGUGGCCUACGACUGCUGGAGGUUGGUCCUGGGAUGGAGCCCCGCGUCAGUCUCCCUGCUCAGCGUGGCAUCGGGCAGGAUAGAGGACGUCCAUGGUGCACAUCACGAAUUAACUCCACUUUCUGGACUUGAGAUACAGACAAGCAACACCUGGCUUCAUUUGAACCCCUGCCGAUAUAUUUUUCACCCAAGAAAUUUCAGAUUUCAACAAGAGAACCAUUCUCCAGAAUAACAACACUGAUGGGGAACUGAGCACACACAGAGCUCAUCUUGUGACGGAAGCCCAGGGGAACGCCCUCAACUGUGGUCUGGACAUGACCACGGACAGACGGUGCGAACGGUAGCCGGGUCUGUUCUAGCUCUCCACCAUUUGUCAGCUCGGAGCCUCUUUUUUUUUCUUUCCAAGGAGACUGAGUUCUACAUUGUUCCAAGGAGACUGAGUUCUACAUUGAUGUGAUUAAAGUCCCUUCACAGGGUUCCUCCGGGGCCCUUGAAAAUAACAGUGUGUCCCUUCAGAAUGAUUCCGACAUUUUCUGGAAUGUCGACAGUCUGAUUGCUGAGAACGGUCUUCGUUCCCGUAGAGAUGUGGCAAAGAGUGUAUGAAACAUUUCUGAAGAAAGAGUAUUUUAACGGAAUAGCGUUCAGGCAGAGGGACGGUGACGCUUGAGAGUCUGACUGCAUUUCUGGCUGGAUCCCGUACAAGUGUGCCUUUUAAUACAUUACUUUUAAUACAUAAUACAUUUUAAUACAUUACUAACUUGACUUCGAAGAAGACUCUUCUACUGAGGAGAUAAUUGUACAACCAGCCUGGUCUCCCUGUGAAGUAAGAAGCUUGAGUCAUGACUUUUUUCUUACAUGUGAGAUUUCAGACAUUCUGAGCUUGAACGAUUACAUUUACCCUGGACCUUCCCCUCCAACUUUAAGGGCAAGCAUUUGCUAAUUAAUUUAUGGUCGACCGGGAAAUCUGUCACGAUUGUUUUGUUGUUGUAUCUCUGACACCUGGCGUUCUACUUGGUAUUCAGUAGGCACUCAAUAAACAUUUAUCAAAGGGGGAAAAUGGAUAAGAU
ensembl:lncRNA